rnacentral:rRNA from 1 species
AGAUUGAACGCUGGCGGCAGGCCUAACACAUGCAAGUCGAGCGGUAGAGAGGUGCUUGCACCUCUUGAGAGCGGCGGACGGGUGAGUAAUGCCUAGGAAUCUGCCUAGUGGUGGGGGAUAACGUUCGGAAACGGACGCUAAUACCGCAUACGUCCUACGGGAGAAAGCGGGGGACCUUCGGGCCUCGCGCCAUUAGAUGAGCCUAGGUCGGAUUAGCUAGUUGGUGAGGUAAUGGCUCACCAAGGCGACGAUCCGUAACUGGUCUGGAGAGUA